UACGAAGGGGGCUAGCGUUGCUCGGAUUGACUGGGCGUAAAGGGCUCGUAGGCGGCCAACUAAGUCGGACGUGAAAUCCCUCGGCUCAACCGGGGAACUGCGUCCGAUACUGGAUGGCUUGAGUUCGGGAGAGGGAUGCGGAAUUCCAGGUGUAGCGGUGAAAUGCGUAGAUAUCUGGAGGAACACCGGUGGCGAAGGCGGCAUCCUGGACCGACACUGACGCUGAGGCGCGACAGCGUGGGGAGCAAACAGG
rnacentral:rRNA from 1 species